UUGUCUUCAGUAUAAAUGCCAGCAAUUCAUUAAAGAACAUGUGCAGGGAACCAGAGCCAAAGCAUUCCUAAAAUGGAAAUUACAGAACCAUGAAGAAAGGGAAGAAAGAUACUGAACACAAGCUUCUUCUCUGAAAGCACCAGAAAAAGCAAAGAGCUCUGGUCAGAGAUUAAAUAUGUUGUACUCUCCUGA